AAACAGAACGGAAGUUGUGAAACUUCCAAGAAUAGAAUAGUUUAGUUAAGUCUAGUUUAGUUUUUGUGUUGAAGGGCUUCUACCUCAGAGGAGGAUUUAGAAGCCCUUUCUAU
rfam:Bacteroides fragilis YCH46 DNA, complete genome.